UGGGGGAGUCUACCCCCUCAGUGCCGCAGCUAACGCAUUAAGUAUCCCACCUGGGGAGUACGAUCGCAAGGUUGAAACUCAAAGGAAUUGACGGGGGCCCGCACAAGCGGUGGAGCAUGUGGUUUAAUUCGAUGCAACGCGAGGAACCUUACCUGGGCUUGACAUGCAGGGGACAGGCGUAGAAAUACGUCCUUCUUCGGACUCCUGCACAGGUGCUGCAUGGCUGUCGUCAGCUCGUGUCGUGAAAUGUUAGGUUAAGUCCUGCAACGAGCGCAACCCCUAUCUUUAGUUGCCAACAGGUUAUGCUGGGGACUCUAGAGAGACUGCCGGUGACAAACCGGAGGAAGGUGGGGACGACGUCAAGUCAUCAUGGCCCUUACGCCCAGGGCUACACACGUGCUACAAUGGUCGGUACAGAGGGCUGCGAAACAGUGAUGUGGAGCGAAUCCCAGAAAGCCGGCCUCAGUUCGGAUUGCAGUCUGAAACUCGACUGCAUGAAGUUGGAAUCGCUAGUAAUCGCGUAUCAGAACGACGCGGUGAAUACGUUCCCGGGCCUUGUACACACCGCCCGUCAAGUCAACCGAGUUGGUUGCACCCCAAGUCGCUGAGCUAACCCUUUCGGGGGAGGCAAGUGCCCAAGGUGUGAUUGGCGAGGGAGACUAAGUCGUAACAAGGUAGCCG
rnacentral:rRNA from 1 species